GCCCUCUAGGGGAGGAGAGGACUUCAGACACCGGCGGAGCGAAGACACAACCUGCUGCUGCGGGGGUGGUAGUCUGUGGUUGUUCAUGGAACAAUGACUUCUGAAGGAAGAAAAGGAUCUUCAUCUCCAGAAUGGGUCCUUCGGUUUUCAGCUCAGUAUGAGUAAUAAGGAGUCUCCAGUCAUAUCCACUAUUCCCGAUGUAUGAAGUGAACAAGAGUUUAAGGAUGGCCAGAGGACAGUGAGGGAUUCUUCCCACAUGGCCUUGAAGAUUAUCAAAUGGAAGAUCUCCUCAGUAACAGGUGAAAAUAAGCAUGUCACUAUGCUAGCAUUAGAUGAUUAGGUAGUAACAAGAUCAGGAUUCUUAAAGCUGUGCAAGUUAGCAGCUUUGAUGUGAGCUUCAACCCUAGCAUGCUCUCUUCUGCCUCUACUUCCCCAUUCACUCCUUAGUAGGCUUCUAGCUCUUAAUAAGCUAAGACAUUUCCAGCUCUAGUGAACUUUUGCCUUCUGAAAAGUCCACCUCAUGCAAACUCAAAUGCUGAACUGAGAAACACAAAAAUAAAACAAAGAAAUACAAAGAAACCCACAAACAAACAGAAAUGCUGAACUAAACACUGGUAAAGGUCCCAUAUUAAGUACAGGUAUAUACCUUCUGUGGGACUUUUAAUUGUAAAACAUGAUCAUUUUACAAUA